rnacentral:rRNA from 1 species
GCGGAACGAGUUAUCUGAACCUUCGGGGAACGAUAACGGCGUCCAGCGUGCGGACGGGUGAGUAAUGCCUAGGAAAUUGCCCUGAUGUGGGGGAUAACCAUUGGAAACGAUGGCUAAUACCGCAUAAUGCCUACGGGCCAAAGAGGGGGACCUUCGGGCCUCUCGCGUCAGGAUAUGCCUAGGUGGGAUUAGCUAGUUGGUGAGGUAAGGGCUCACCAAGGCGACGAUCCCUAGCUGGUCUGAGAGGAUGAUCAGCCACACUGGAACUGAGACACGGUCCAGACUCCUACGGGAGGCAGCAGUGGGGAAUAUUGCACAAUGGGCGCAAGCCUGAUGCAGCCAUGCCGCGUGUGUGAAGAAGGCCUUCGGGUUGUAAAGCACUUUCAGUCGUGAGGAAGGUAGUGUAGUUAAUAGCUGCAUUAUUUGACGUUAGCGACAGAAGAAGCACCGGCUAACUCCGUGCCAGCAGCCGCGGUAAUACGGAGGGUGCGAGCGUUAAUCGGAAUUACUGGGCGUAAAGCGCAUGCAGGUGGUUUGUUAAGUCAGAUGUGAAAGCCCGGGGCUCAACCUCGGAAUUGCAUUUGAAACUGGCAGACUAGAGUACUGUAGAGGGGGGUAGAAUUUCAGGUGUAGCGGUGAAAUGCGUAGAGAUCUGAAGGAAUACCGGUGGCGAAGGCGGCCCCCUGGACAGAUACUGACACUCAGAUGCGAAAGCGUGGGGAGCAAACAGGAUUAGAUACCCUGGUAGUCCACGCCGUAAACGAUGUCUACUUGGGAGGUUGUGGCCUUGAGCCGUGGCUUUCGGAGCUAACGCGUUAAGUAGACCGCCUGGGGGAGUACGGUCGCAAGAUUAAAACUCAAAUGAAUUGACGGGGGCCCGCACAAGCGGUGGAGCAUGUGGGUUUAAUUCGAUGCAACGCGAAGAACCUUACCUACUCUUGACAUCCAGAGAACUUUCCAGAGAAUGGGAUUGGGUGCCUUCGGGAACUCUGAGACAGGUGCUGCAUGGCUGUCGUCAGCU